AGUUUGAUCAUGGCUCAACAGAUUGAACGCUGGCGGGAUGCUUUACACAUGCAGUCGAGGAACGGCAGCACGGACUUCGGUCUGGCGAGUGGCGAACAGGUGAGUAAUGUAUCGGAACGUGCCUAGUAGCGGGGGAUAACUACGCGAAAGCGUAGCUAAUACCGCAUACGCCCUUCGGGGAAAGCGGGGGACCUUCGGGCCUCUUUUACUUUAAUG
rnacentral:misc_RNA from 1 species